ACUCGACUCCACUGCGCUUGAUGGAAACUGUUCAGCCAGCUUUGGGUUGGGCCUAUGGCAGCCAGGAGGAGCAGUGCCCGACAGAUGAGGCUCCAACCUGAAGGAGGGUCUUGCUCUGGAGACAACCGGUCUCUGUCCUGGAUAUCAUGAGAUCUGAGGAGAUGAGACGGUCAAGAGGUGGGAGAAGCAGCGACAAGAGCCGAAGCAAGGUUGAGUUUUUGUGCUGAGUUCCUGUUCACCUCAUGCUUGAAAAUGCAAGGACUGGGAAGGAUGACAUCCCGCAGCGGUGCCACAGGCCGUGCGCCUGACAGCAGCGCUGCCAGGCAUUGCUGUCAUCAUCUCUGCCUCUUGGAGUUAUCUCAUCAGCACGCUUGGAUUCUAGCUUAUGUUGCUUUUCCAAGUUUUCCUUGCUGAAGCCACUGCCUCUUGUUCUGAAAUACGCCCUCUGCAUCCAUUUGGGCUACCC